UUUCUCCUGCCAGAUGCCGGUGCAGCUGACAACAGCCUUGCGUGUGGUGGGCACCAGCCUGUUUGCCCUGGCAGUGCUGGGUGGCAUCCUGGCAGCCUAUGUGACAGGCUACCAGUUCAUCCACACAGAAAAGCACUACCUGUCCUUUGGCCUGUACGGCGCCAUCCUGGGCCUGCACCUGCUCAUCCAGAGCCUGUUUGCCUUCCUGGAGCACAGGCGCAUGCGGCGGGCCAGCCGGCCACUGAAGCUGCUUUCUCCCCGGCGGGGCUCGGUGGCACUGUGCAUUGCCGCAUACCAGGAGGACCCUGACUACUUGCGCAAGUGCCUGCGUUCUGCCCAGCGCAUCUCCUUCCCUGACCUCAAGGUGGUCAUGGUGGUGGAUGGCAAUCGCCAGGAGGACGCCUACAUGCUGGACAUCUUCCACGAAGUGCUAGGUGGCACGGAGCAAGCUGGCUUUUUUGUGUGGCGCAGCAACUUCCAUGAGGCUGGAGAGGGUGAGACAGAGGCCAGCCUACAGGAGGGCAUGGACCGCGUACGGAACGUAGUACAUGCCAGCACCUUCUCAUGCAUCAUGCAGAAGUGGGGAGGCAAGUGCGAAGUCAUGUACACAGCCUUCAAGGCCCUUGGUGAUUCGGUGGACUACAUCCAG